GGGAGGUAGUGACGAAAAAUAACAAUACGGGACUCAUCCGAGGCCCCGUAAUUGGAAUGAAUACAUUUUAAAUCCUUUAAUGAGGAUCCAUUGGAGGGCAAGUCUGGUGCCAGCAGCCGCGGUAAUUCCAGCUCCAAUAGCGUAUAUAAAAGUUGCUGCAGUUAAAAAGCUCGUAGUUGGAUCUCAGUUACAGGCAGGUGGUUCACUUUACGGUGCUACUACUUGUACUGAACCUAUUGCUGGAUCUCUUGGGUGCCCUUCACUGGGUGCCCCUUGAGACCAGAGCGUUUACUUUGAGAAAAUUAGAGUGCUCAAAGCAGGCGAAUGCCUGAAUAGUUGUGCAUGGAAUAAUAAAAAAUGACCUCGGUAUCAUUUUGUUGGUUCACGAUACUCGAGGUAAUGGUUGAAAGGGACAGACGGGGGCAUUCGUAUUGCGACGUUAGAGGUGAAAUUCUUAGAUCGUCGCAAGACGGACUACUGCGAAAGCAUUUGCCAAGAAUGUCUUCAUUAAUCAAGAACGAAAGUCAGAGGUUCGAAGGCGAUCAGAUACCGCCCUAGUUCUGACCUUAAACGAUGCUAACUGGCGAUCCAGUAGGGGUAUUUCAAUGACCUGCUGGGCAGCUUCUGGGAAACCAAAGUUUUUGGGUUCCGGGGGAAGUAUGGUUGCAAAGCUGGAACUUAAAGGAAUUGACGGAAGGGCACCACCAGGAGUGGAGCCUGUGGCUUAAUUUGACUCAACACGGGAAACCUCACCAGGCCCAGACACUAGAAGGAUUGACAGAUUGAGAGCUCUUUCUUGAUUUGGUGGAUGGUGGUGCAUGGCCGUUCUUAGUUGGUGGAGUGAUUUGUCUGGUUAAUUCCGAUAACGAACGAGACUUUAGCCUAUUAAAUAGGCAGCGAAUAUUUAAAGUUCGCAUUGUCUUCUUAGAGGGACAAGGCAGCUUCAAGCUGCAUGA
rnacentral:rRNA from 1 species